rnacentral:rRNA from 1 species
UUGAACGCUGGCGGCAUGCCUUACACAUGCAAGUCGAACGGUAACAGGGAGCUUGCUCCGCUGACGAGUGGCGAACGGGUGAGUAAAGUAUCGGAACGUACCUUUCAGUGGGGGAUAACGUAGCGAAAGUUACGCUAAUACCGCAUAUUCUGUGAGCAGGAAAGCAGGGGAUCGCAAGACCUUGCGCUGAUUGAGCGGCCGAUAUCAGAUUAGCUAGUUGGUGAGGUAAAGGCUCACCAAGGCGACGAUCUGUAGCGGGUCUGAGAGGAUGAUCCGCCACACUGGAACUGAGACACGGUCCAGACUCCUACGGGAGGCAGCAGUGGGGAAUUUUGGACAAUGGGGGCAACCCUGAUCCAGCCAUGCCGCGUGAGUGAAGAAGGCCUUCGGGUUGUAAAGCUCUUUCGGCCGGGAAGAAAUCGCAUGGGUUAAUACCCUGUGCGGAUGACGGUACCGGCAUAAGAAGCACCGGCUAACUACGUG